rnacentral:siRNA from 1 species
CGACAACAAGGUCAAAUCUCGCCA